GAUGAACGCUGGCGGCGUGCCUAAUACAUGCAAGUCGAGCGCACGGACGAGAAGCUUGCUUCUCUGAUGUUUGCGGCGCACGUGUGUGUCACAUGUGGAUAACCCCCCUAUAAGUCUGGUAUAACUUCGGGAAACCGGCUCUAAUACCGUAUAAUAUUUUCAUCCGCAUGGUUCAAAUGUGAAAGACGUUCUUGCUGUCGCUUAUAGUUGGAUCCUCGCUGCAUUAGCUAGUUGGUAAGGUCACGGCUUACCUAGGCAACGAUGCAUAGCCGACCUGAGAGCGUGAUCGGCCGCACUGGAACAGAGACACGGUCCAGCCUCCUACGGGAGGCAGCAGUAGGGAAGCUUCCGCAAUUGGCGAAAGCCUGACGGAGCAACGCAGCGUGGGUGAUGAAGGUCUUCGGAUCGUAGAACUCUGUUAUUAGGGAGGAACAUAUGUGUAAGUAACUGUGCACAUCUUGACGGUACCUAAUCAGAAAGCCACGGCUAACUACGUG
rnacentral:rRNA from 1 species